rnacentral:piRNA from 1 species
UGCGUGGUAUGACCCGAUCUGAGUGUGGAUC